AUGUUAUUUUUAUGGGUGAUUUUUUUUUUACAUGUAAGUUCAUUAAUUUUUUUGGUCUGCACUGGUCGCAAAGGCAGAAUCACUUGUUGCUAGUAGGCUAAAGGUUAACGGUAAACUAGUUGUGAAACUGAUUCAAGGUUGUUUUCAUCUAAAAUGCAAGACAGUAAAUUCUCAAAAUUUAUUUUAUGCAUGCCAGGGUGUACUACUGUUGUGUGUGCUUAAAAUGUAGAUUAUUACAAAGUAGCUCUAAUUUGAAAUUUUUUGCUGUUGACAGGUUUCCAUGUUGUCUGCUGUUGGAAGAACAUCUCUGAGGGAUUGUGAAUAGAAUCUUUAUCUUCUGCUUAUAUACAACACUUACUCAUGGGCCAGUGGCACAAUUUCUAGCUGUACAAGGAUAUCAUGGUGUUUGAUAAGCAAGUAAUAUUGGAAUAAAGUUUCCAUACAGAUAUUAGAGAGUUUGAGAUUUCAACCUUCGCCUUCGCCUUCAACGUCUCUCAUAUAUAUUUGGGGUAAAACGUCACCGAUAGGUUGAUGACAAUGAAACUAAUGACCAUGUUAACAUCAGAGGAAAAGCAAACUGGGAGAAGAAAGGACAACAUUGUUUUCAAUCAUGAAGGCCUGCAUAGACAUAGGACCAGGAAGGGGAGCUAGGAGUGGGAGAAGUGCCUGUGACUGAUAUGCACUGUCAGAUAGAAAUCCAGUUCAAAAGGAAAUCUGAAGUAGUGAAAUAGCAGAAAUCAUGACUUACAUACUGUAUAAUCUGCUCUAAAACACAAACAUUUGAAUUUAAAAUGUGUUAAAUGCAAAACAGUUUUACUUACAAAAUGAAUCUUUCAGUAAAUUCUAAAUGCAGCUGAAAAGUGAUAUACAUGAAAUGUGUCAAAACAGUGCAAGUUAAGUUUGAUUUUUUGUUGUAGACAAAACUGAAGAACUUGUAUCCAAUUCAUUUUCUGGAUGCACAGUGUUAUUGGAAUUUUUUUCAGAUAAUUUAAAAUUCUACAAGGUGAAGAAAUUUCAAAUAGUAUCUCAAGAAAAAAAGUUUUAUGCACAAUGAAUUGUUUUUCAAAAAAUUGCAGUUGUUUGUUCAUUGUUUUGCCAGUCCAUUACACUUAAACUUACUUUAUUUACUCUUAAUAUUUUUGUGAAUGGAUUAGAUUACUUAUUCACAAGGCAAAAUCAAGAAUUUGUCGGUUAAGGUUAAUGUUGUCUCAAGCUAAGUGAUGGGCAGACUUUAUCCAUUUGUAGUGAUUUUGAGAAUAAUUAAAAUAAUUUGUCACAUAAAUCAAUAUUAAAUGACCUGGCUGAAAGUUAUAUAUGAAAAAAAUUGUAUUUUGUUCAGAUUGUUCUACAUAGAACUUUUUGCAAGAUUUUUUAUUAAAAUCAUUUUAGGAAACUGCAUAAAAGAUGCCACAAUUGGACCUUUAUAACUUUACUAUUUGAACAAUAAGAAUAGCUAUCCUACUUGAUACGGCAUCAGCUUUGCGUCACACCUUGGUUAAAUUUUUGGUACCAGUUCACAUUUUGGCAAAACCUUUGGGGAUAAAGGUUUGAAACUUUCAACUCAAGUGCACAUAACUCCAUCUGAAUUGGGGUACCUUUUAUUUCCUACUAGUUCAUAUUUUGUGUAAACUGUUUGACAUAUGACUUUGAAACUUUUAUCACUUGAUUAUUAUUAUACCAUAGUCUGUAUCUGUAGGUAAGAGUACAUAACUCUUACAAGUAUUUUGGCUAAAUUACGACUCUUUUUGGACUUGGAAAUUGGUACAAUUUCAUACCAGUCCAUGUUUUGUAAAAACUGUUUGAUGUGUGGCUUCGAAACUUUGAAUACUUGUUUAUAUUAUAUGAUUGCCAUCUGUAAGUAAGUGUUCAUAACUCUGUCAACUAUUUUGGCUGAAUUAUGGCCUUUUUUGUACUUAGAAAUUGGUUCAGUUUGCGUACAGGUAUGUGUUUGUCAAAACUAUUUGACAUAUGGCUUUGAAACUUUGAAACACUUACUUACUUACUUACUAUCAUGAUUUCCAUCUGUAGCCAAGAGCAGAUAACUCUGUCAACGAGUUUGGAUAAAUUAUGGUCUUUUUUGGAGUUGGAAAUUGGUUCAGUCAAACUUAUUGGAAUGAUUAAGCAAGAUAUUCCAUUAAAUAACAAUAAAUCUUGUGCAGAAUGUAGUAUACUAAAUUUGAAAUAUUGCAGAAAAUUUACAUUCCUGUUGCAUUUUUACCAAUAUCUAAAUUUUAUUCUCAACCGUUUUAAAUCACAUUUCUGUGUCAAAUACACAUUCUCUGCUAAACUUUUUGAAACGAAGAUGUUGAAAAAUUUCACCCAAACUGGGGGUGAGUAACUUUAAGAUUUUAGCUAGACUGUACAAACUAUAUGCAGAGCUAUCCUACUUGUUUUCUGUCAGCAUCUAAGAUCAGAUUUCACAGACCGAAGUGUGGUAUCAGACCAGUAUUUCUUGAAUUAUUUAAAGGAAUUUUAGGCAGUUUCACCAUUAAUGGCUAUUAUUCAAUGCAUUUUGUUCAAACAUAAAGUAAUUGUGUAGGAUAACGCAUGUUUUUCGUGUUACAACAUCUCCAGAAUCCCGAGGGAUUGGUUGGUACCCAAGCCCGGUACCAAUGAUACCCGAGGGAUUCUGUAGAUGUUAUAACAUGAAAAUAACAUGCGCUAACGCUAUUCUGGCAUAAAACACGUAAAAACCAAGUAAAUGAAUAUAUUGUCCCUCAACGUCAUUAAAUUCCCAUGAA